rnacentral:rRNA from 1 species
UUUGAAAUCCAAGAUUAUAUCGCUUCGAAAUGGACUCGCGUCCGAUAAGCUAGUUGGCGGGGUACCGCCCACCAAGGCGACGAUCGGUAGCCCGACUGAGAGUUGGUUGGCCCACAUUGGGAAUGAGACACGGCCCAGACUCUACGGGGAGGCAGCAGUGGGGGAUAUUGCGCAAUGGGGGCAAUCCUGACGCAGAAACGCCGCGUGAAGGAAGACGGUUUUCGGAUUGUAACUUCUUUGUCAGGGACGAAGAAUGACGGUACCUGACGAAUAAGCUCCGGCUAACUACGUGCCAGCAGCCGCGGUAAUACGUAGGGAGCAAGCGUUGUCCGGAUUUACUGGGUGUAAAGGGUGCGUAGGCGGCUUUGUAAGUCAGAUGUGAAAUCUAUGGGCUCAACCCAUAAACUGCAUUUGAAACUAUAGAGCUUGAGUGAAGUAGAGGCAGGCGGAAUUCCCUGUGUAGCGGUGAAAUGCGUAGAGAUAGGGAGGAACACCAGUGGCGAAGGCGGCCUGCUGGGCUUUAACUGACGCUGAGGCACGAAAGCGUGGGUAGCAAACA